GGGGAACCAGGACUUUUACUGUGAAAAAAUUAGAGUGUUCAAAGCAGGCCUUUGCUCGGAUACAUUAGCAUGGAAUAAUAGAAUAGGACGUGCGGUUCUAUUUUGUUGGUUUCUAGGACCGCCGUAAUGAUUAAUAGGGAUAGUCGGGGGCGUCAGUAUUCAGCUGUCAGAGGUGAAAUUCUUGGAUUUGCUGAAGACUAACUACUGCGAAAGCAUUCGCCAAGGAUGUUUUCAUUAAUCAGGGAACGAAAGUUAGGGGAUCGAAGACGAUCAGAUACCGUCGUAGUCUUAACCAUAAACUAUGCCGACUAGGGAUCGGGCGGGGUUUCUAUGAUGACCCGCUCGGCACCUUACGAGAAAUCAAAGUUUUUGGGUUCUGGGGGGAGUAUGGUCGCAAGGCUGAAACUUAAAGAAAAUUGACGGAAGGGCACCACAAGGCGUGGAGCCUGCGGCUUAAUUUGACUCAACACGGGGAAACUCACCAGGUCCAGACAAAAUAAGGAUUGACAGAUUGAGAGCUCUUUCUUGAUCUUUUGGAUGGUGGUGCAUGGCCGUUCUUAGUUGGUGGAGUGAUUUGUCUGCUUAAUUGCGAUAACGAACGAGACCU
rnacentral:rRNA from 1 species